GCGAACGCUGGCGGCAGGCCUAAUACAUGCAAGUCGAGCGCACCUUCGGGUGAGCGGCGGACGGGUGAGUAACGCGUGGGAAUAUGCCCUUUGGUACGGAACAACUGAGGGAAACUUCAGCUAAUACCGUAUGUGCCCUUCGGGGGAAAGAUUUAUCGCCAUUGGAGUAGCCCGCGUUGGAUUAGGUAGUUGGUGAGGUAAAGGCUCACCAAGCCUACGAUCCAUAGCUGGUCUGAGAGGAUGAUCAGCCACACUGGGACUGAGACACGGCCCAGACUCCUACGGGAGGCAGCAGUAGGGAAUCUUGCGCAAUGGGCGAAAGCCUGACGCAGCCAUGCCGCGUGAAUGAUGAAGGUCUUAGGAUUGUAAAAUUCUUUCACCGGGGAAGAUAAUGACGGUACCCGGAGAAGAAGCCCCGGCUAACUUCGU
rnacentral:rRNA from 1 species